AUUGAACGCUGGCGGCAGGCCUAACACAUGCAAGUCGAGCGGAUGAAGGGAGCUUGCUCCUGGAUUCAGCGGCGGACGGGUGAGUAAUGCCUAGGAAUCUGCCUGGUAGUGGGGGAUAACGUCCGGAAACGGGCGCUAAUACCGCAUACGUCCUGAUGGAGAAAGUGGGGGAUCUUCGGACCUCACGCUAUCAGAUGAGCCUAGGUCGGAUUAGCUAGUUGGUGGGGUAAAGGCCUACCAAGGCGACGAUCCGUAACUGGUCUGAGAGGAUGAUCAGUCACACUGGAACGGAGACACGGUCCAGACUCCUACGGGAGGCAGCAGUGGGGAAUAUUGGACAACAGGGGAAAGCCUGAUCCAGCCAUGCCGCGUGUGUGGAGAAGGUCUUCGGAUUGUAAAGAACUUUAAGUGGGGAGGAAGGGCAGUAAGUUAAUACCUUGCUGUUUUGACGUUACCAACAGAAUAAGCACCGGCUAACUACGUG
rnacentral:rRNA from 1 species